AAUCCCAAUUUAGUACCUUCCACUCCCGCAACAAUGAAUGGAGGGCUAUGCCAAUGGGGUAUAAAAACAGUACUGUCAUGGUCUGAAGGUGUGGCUAGCUGGUUGUACGCCCCACUUAAUGAAAUGACAGAAUAUUAUUAA